CACACAUGUAUGAUGCAUUUCUGAUCAUAAUUUGCCCUUCAAACGAACACUAUAAAAGUAAUUUUGAAUUGUGGACAAAAACAUGCGCCAACAGAUUACAAGCCUCACAGUUCCGGCACUAUAAUGAGAUAUGUUAACAAUCCACUUUAUGAGCCAAUUAACAACUUUAAACACUUAUUGCCCACACACGCUAAAUGACUUUGACGCUAAAAAGGCUAUAAAUGGCGAUGUGACAAACGCACGGACACCAGUCUAACAACCGGCAGCUAUUAACAAACCAUCAAGAAGUCAUCAACGUCAUCAUGUACUAUUUCAAUAGCAAUGGAAAUCGACAACGUCGUAACCAUCAUGAAUAUCAACAACAAAAAAACUAUAAGAUAGGAAGCUACAGUAAUGGCUGUAACAGGUCAUAAAAUUACAUAACAACAUCAUCUUAUGGCAACAAUUGCAAUGAAGAUGAAAAGCAACAAGAACGCUGAAUCCUUGGUAUAGAAAAUGCAUACGUCACGGAAGCUAAAUGCCAUAUAUUUUAUAUGGCAAUUUUUAUACGAAUUCAACAUUGCACUGUAGUACUGGUGAUGAUCGUAAAAAGGUCGUAAAAUCUAUGAAAUGGGACCGACCUCACAAAACACACACACAUUCACGUAAAGUAAUAAACACAACUACGAAGCCGACAGAGAGCAGAAGGCAAAAAAUUUUGUUGCCAGUGAUUUGCUGCUGUGGUGUACAUUUUACUCACUCAUGGUUCGAGGACAUAAAACGAUCUCUACUCAAUCAAUAUAAACUCUCAACUUCGCCAAUGAGUGCGACGAAGUUGUUUCAUUAUGAGUGCGUGUAAGUGAUGAGAAGCAGAGGAGAGUGGUUGUAAUGUUUGAUCAGCGUCUGUGGAAGAAAACAAUUUCAGUUUGAGCGGAUUUGUUGGCUUGGUGGAAAUGAGGGAGAUGCGACCUGUUGGCAUUUACUGAUUUUGUGGUUUAACGCUAAGUGGCGUUAAGUCGUAAAAAUGCUAUAAAAUUCAGAUAUACUUCUGUCUAUGGCGUUUACCAAGUAUUGCUGGGAUUGUAAGCACUUGUAGUCAGAUUAAUUGUUUGUUGACAUAAAAUAGUCAUAAAUUCUAAGCGCCUUUUAUGUAUAAUAACCUUAAAAUUCAUGUAUCAAUAUGUAGCAAUCAGUGCUUCACUAGUUGCAUUAGUAGCUCGCAUGUGACAUUUUUAUGUAUUUUAAAGGUGCUAAUUAUUAAAUAAAUUUUAUAGACGAGCAAACUCAUGUCAUUAUUAUUGUUU